UCCCUUGUAGCUCAGUUGGUAAAGAAUCUGCCUGCAAUGUAGGAGACCCAGGUUCGAUUCCUGGGUUGGGAA
rnacentral:tRNA from 1 species